rnacentral:rRNA from 1 species
AGAGUUUGAUCAUGGCUCAGGAUGAACGCUGGCGGCGUGCUUAACACAUGCAAGUCGAACGGAGUGCUCAUGACGGAGGAUUCGUCCAACGGAUUGAGUUACUUAGUGGCGGACGGGUGAGUAACGCGUGAGGAACCUGCCUCGGAGUGGGGAAUAACAGUCCGAAAGGACUGCUAAUACCGCAUGAUGCAGUUGGGUCGCAUGACUCUGACUGUCAAAGAUUUAUCGCUCUGAGAUGGCCUCGCGUCUGAUUAGCUAGUUGGCGGGGUAACGGCCCACCAAGGCGACGAUCAGUAGCCGGACUGAGAGGUUGACCGGCCACAUUGGGACUGAGACACGG